UUCUUAACGAAGUAAUUUUAAGUAUCGCCUGCUCAAUGAUUUUUUAAAUAGCCGCGGAAAUUUAACCGUGCUAAGGUAGCAUAAUCAUUUGUCUUUUAAUUAAAGACUAGAAUAAAAGAUUUAACUUUUAAAUUAAUUUUUUAAACUUAAUUAUUUAAAUUAUCUUAAAUGUAAAAAGACAUUUAUAUAUUAGAAAGACGAUAAGACCCUAUCGAACUUUAACUUUAGUUAAACUGGGGUAGUUAAUUAAUUAUUAUUUUAAUUUUAAUAAAAUACAAAUUAGACCUAAUAUAAUUAAUUUCAUAAUCAAGUUACCGUAGGGAUAACAGCGUAAUAAAAUUUUUAAGAUCUUAUUUAAAAUAAAGAUUGCGACCUCGAUGUUGAUUUAAUAACCUAAUUCACGCAAUAGUGAAUCAAGGAAGUCUGUUCGACUUUUAAAAAAUU
rnacentral:rRNA from 1 species